UGCAGGAGAGCAGAGAGCAGGGGAAGGGAAAGUCCAGGGGAACCACUGGAUGGAUUUGGUGCUUCCAACACCUUCAAAAUCAGCCAGCACAAAAGGGCAGGCUAGAGCACCUGCAGCAGAGGAGAAGAGCACACACCUGCUGCCAGCAGGUAUUGCACAGCUCCUACAAGCCCCAUUCUGCCCAACAAGUCCUCAGAGGUUACACACAGCUGAAUUAACACCAGCCCAAAACCCCUGGGAAGGUAAAGCAGCAGCUCAGGCUCACACAGAACUUGGCCAGCCCAAAUUUGAGGGGCACAGUCACAGAACUGGGCAAUUCCAACAAGCCCCAGCAGUGACCCCACAGAUACACCAGCCCUGCAGAGUCACAGCUUCCAAAGCCCUGGACUUCCAACAAGUCCUGCCCGAAACUUCACAGCUCUGUGGAGCAAAUGGCAUCAGAAAGGUGAGCAAAUGCAGACAUAGAGCUGCACAGGGGCAGAAACACCCUGGGCUGUGGUGUGUGACUGCUGUAGCAAAAGUUUGGACUCCAGUCUCUGUAAAUAGAAAUGUUUGGCCCAGUCAGCACAUGGAUUAUUUGCUGCCAGCACAACAGAGCAGAUGCCUUUGUUCUGGAUGGGUUGAAUUUAGGGAAUUGCUAAAGGAUGGAAUAAAAUGAAUAAACACUUUCAUUUUUGGCA